rnacentral:lncRNA from 1 species
UCCUCCUCCUCCUCCUCCUCUCACCCAGGAUCACUUCCAAAACCACUUGGCCUUCAGCCCCUGCCUCGGCCAGAGGUUUCAUUUUUAACUGAAUAUUUACGAAAGCUGAAAGCGUGCGAGGGGGGUGGGGUGGAAAUAGCGGCUGCUUCUUUUCCAAGGAUUUAUUUAAUGGGGAUGUGUUCAAGGCAAGACCGAAUUCAGAAGGAUAUCGACGUCGUGAUCCAGAAGUCCAGAGCUGAGGACUGCCUGUUUGCAGGACAACUGUGCAGACUACAAAGCUUCGGAAAACCGGAGAGGCUGAGUCGACUAAUCGUGUUGUUGCACGUUAGAAACGCUUGCAUUGCCUGA